UUAGUUGCUUUGUAUUCUUAAUAACUAACAAUGUGAAAUUGAUUCAAAUAUAGCAACACUAAAAGAAAGAUGGAGGCACCCUGAUUAGUAGGACUGAAGUAUGGAUUAAAACCCAUACAAGAAAGGAUGGUUCUAUUCACAGUAAUGCGGUUUCACAUGUGGAAAAAGUUAAAGAGUUACUUGCUAGCAAAGAAAGUAAUUCCCACAACAUCCUCAACGAUCCAUUGACUCAAGUGUUUGCCCCUGAUACAAGGGGUCAUGUUCGAGGUGUUGGGACUACUAUUUUCCAUUCACAAAUCAGGGGGUCCAUUGCAGCUCUUGAAAAAAUCUCUUCGUAUAAAGGAAAAGUAGAAGAGCAAUCGUCCACAAUUCAAGAGUAAUCAUUCAAAAUUCAAGAGCUAUCUUCUAAAAUAGAUUUUCUUACGGACCAAAUUGGGGGUAUCAAAGAGAUGUUUCAGCAGUAACACAUGGAUUCGGUUCAAUCGGAGAAUCUAUAAUCGACUAGUGGACCCUCAGUUGGGAAUCAUCAAUGGGUAGAGAGAAUGCGGCCAUGCAAGUUGUACUCUUAGUGUAAAGAGCUCGUUGCUCAAGGGUGAGUUAUUUUAGCAGAUGAGCCUUAAAUGAUUCAUGGCAAACCUCUUCAGGAAGAUCUUUAUAAGGUUGCCAUUGAUAUCAUUAUCAAAGGAGAGGUCGAAUUGCCCGAGCCAGAUUGAUAUGAUUCGACUUUAGGCGAAGUUGGAAUUGGCUCAUUUGUUGCAUGACAUCAUUGCUUUACUGAGUUCACCGAUUAGCGACAAUAGUCUAAAACUUUUUUUGGACACUUAACCUUUUUGGACUGUAUAUAUGUUUGGAUUGUAUAGCUUACUUGAUUAGUUGUUUCUAUAGACUGGACAUGAUAGAUGUAAUGCAGGUUUGUGACAAAUGUGUUGAUGGGUUCAAUCAUCACUGCAUGGUAAGGAAUUAUAUCAUAGAUAAAACAGUUUACUGAAAGUAGACUCUACCAAUUUGGCUAACACUGCAUUGUUGUUGCUUAUUUUCAAGUAUCUGUAUAGGAGAGAUUUUCUUCUUGCAUCAGAGUUCAAUAUCAUGAAUGAAUAUAAGCUGUCAGGUUU